ACAGCAGUAGCCGCGGUAAUACGGAGGGUGCAAGCGUUAAUCGGAAUUACUGGGCGUAAAGCGCACGCAGGCGGUCUGACAAGUCAGAUGUGAAAUCCCCGGGCUUAACCUGGGAACUGCAUUUGAAACUGUCAGGCUGGAGUCUUGUAGAGGGGGGUGGAAUUCCAGGUGUAGCGGUGAAAUGCGUAGAGAUCUGGAGGAAUACCGGUGGCGAAGGCGGCCCCCUGGACAAAGACUGACGCUCAGGUGCGAAAGCGUGGGGAGCAAACAGGAUUAGAUACCCCGGUAGUCCCUGUCUCUUAUAA
rnacentral:rRNA from 1 species